AUACUUAUCUGGCAGGGGAGAUACCAUGGUCAGGAAGGUGGUUUUCCCACAGCGAGGCUUAUCCAUUGCACUCCAGAUGUGCUGACCCCUGCUAUUUCCCAAAUGUGGGAAACUCGACUGCACAAUUUGUGGUGGGGAGGGACUGUGUUCGUGCUUUCCUCUG
ensembl:snRNA U1 U1 spliceosomal RNA